UUGGCCACCACUUCUUGGCCGUCUCCCCGCUCCACGCCAACCUUCUUGCUGCCUCAACAUGUACUGGGGAAGGGGAAGGAGUCCUGAUGGCUUUGGAGUGAAUUACUCCAUUAUUCAGGAAGGAAGGAAGGAAGGAAGGAAGCAAGGGCAGUGCUGCCUUUUGGAGAGUGUGUGGGCAGCUUCUCCGCAUUUCUGCCCCAGGUAACUGGCUGAAAGCUCAGACUUGCCUCUAAGCCCCUGGGGCUGUGACUUGUGCCUCUGCCUCGUGUUCCCGGGAAGCUCCUGGCAGGCCCCGGCGCAGGGAGGCACACCGGACCACACAAGGAGCCAGUCUGCUCCUGCUCUACCCUUGUAAGGCAAGGCGCCUGCUGGCAGCUGCUGGAGGCGGCGACCCCACGCCGGGCCUGCCCAGCACUUGAUCGCAACCCAGACACCAGGCACCUGACAGGCUCAGGCAUGAUGCGGGCCCUUGGGCCUCCCCACGCCAGCCCAGGGAACCCCGGCAGGGCCGUCCAGGGAGGUCAGGCUGGGAAUUGGAACAGAUUCAUAACUGACGUGGAGCCUCUUAUCUAAGAGCAACCUCCUUACCCGCAGCACGUUUAAGUUGCACUUUACCGAAUGAUUCAGAGGUUUCCCUUCCUCGCAGCCCCUGGACUAGGACGUGUGUUCCAGCCUUUCCACUGACACAGGGACACCCAAGAAGGGGACCAGCAUCUCUGUCGGAAAGAAGCCGUGGCUUAGGCAAGGCACCAGGCCAACAAGUGCCAGGGGCGGCCUGGUGAGGGUGGAGGCUAAUGUGCCUCCCUGCUUCUCCCACUUGUGCACAUAACCCCACCCUCUCUUAGAAUAAUCUGCCCCCCUGCGGGUCUCUGGUGACCGAGGUCAACCCAGUUCAGAAUACUUGAACAGAGGCGUCCUGAGUGGCUACUGCCUGGGUGGGCCUGGCUUGGAUGCUGGGGGCGAGACCGAUCCCUACCCUGGGCUCCAGCUGUCGCACUCGCCCUCGGGAGAGGGCCCGGCCGCAGGGGGCCCAGGUGGAGGAGGAGGGAGUAAUCCUGCCGGGUCAUGGGAUGGCUUCCUGUCGAAGGAGGCGGAGAGGAAGACAGCCUCUGGCUCUUGGAGCAAAAUGGUUGAAGAAAUGGGACAUUUAUCCUGGCAGCUGGCAGACGCUGGGGACAGGUGCACUGGCUUUUCAUUGCAGAAGAGGUGUCCGGGGAGUGAGUUAGCUUCUGUGCACCCCCGGUUCCGCCCCUGAGCCUCGGUCCCCGUGCGUCCUCCACGGCUGUGGCCCUGACCCCAUAGGCCCCGGGGCCCACGGCAGCCUGCCCACUAUCCCUAUUCCCGCCGUGUUUGUCUGCCUGGUGAAUCCCGGGUCGCCGUCCUGAGUUUCUGGAACAGCGGCCUGUUGGGGUGCGGUGCGCCUCUGGCCCCCCGGGUGCGGAAGC
rnacentral:lncRNA from 1 species